rnacentral:rRNA from 1 species
GACUUCUGGUUUAAUGCACCUGGCCCGCGGCCCACAAGGCCUGUGAGUGCCGGCGCGCGUUUACCAUCCUUCCAGCAACGGCUACCCUUAACUGGGCGGCUGGAACUGGAGCUUUUACUUUGAAAAAAUUAGAGUGUUUAAAGCAGGCGUUUGCUCUGAAUACAUUAGCAUGGAAUAAUAAUCUAGGACUUCGGUUCUAUUUUGUUGGUUUCUAUAACUGAAGUAAGUUGGGGGUGCUAGUAUUGGCCGGUCAGAGGUGAAAUUCUUGGUCGGUCAAGACUAACUUAUGCGAAAGCAUU